GCAGAUGUGUGGACACGACAGCUAUGAGCCAAACUUGGGACGUUUGGUUUUUAGCAGGUGGAGAGACCGUCUGGGCAGCAGAAACAAGACAACUAAUCAUAGUCAUUCUGUUCUCCUGGUGGUGAGGAUGUGCAGAGGCUGUAUUUGUGCAGCUGUAUUCACACAUACAAGUAGCCGACAAAGAGUUCUGGAGCAGGACAGACAGGGCAGCACGGUGGCGCAGAGGGUAACACGUUUGCCUCACAGCAAGAAGGUCGCUGCUUCGAGCUUCGGCUGGAUUGGUGUACGCUGAUGGUCUGCUGAGAAUUCUCCUGAGUUAAAGGGAUCCUCCUGUCAGACAACCUCUCCAAAGUACAAUAGGACUAGGUUCCCACUACAAGGAUUAGAUUUGGCUACUGCAGUCGUGGUUUGGGCCAGCCUCA